AGCGAGUAGGGGCAUUUAAUUUACUAAUACUAAGUAAUUUUUACUCAGUAUUAGUAAAGUUGGCUGAAAGACCAAUUUAGGUCUUUCAGCCUUUUAGUAGAUAGCUCCCUGAUACCGUGGGAAUUAGGGAGUUAUCUACUAAGCGGCUGCAAGAUGCAGCCACAGCAAUGAAUAGGAUCGGAGUUUCAUUCAUUAGAAUGAAAUUCUGAUCCGAAUAAAGUGCCGAAUUGCGUUCUAAAAGAAACGAAC